rnacentral:rRNA from 1 species
GGCACAUGCAGUCGAACGAUGAAGCCCAGCUUGCUGGGCGGAUUAGUGGCGAACGGGUGAGUAACACGUGAGUAACCUGCCCUUGACUCUGGGAUAAGCCCGGGAAACUGGGUCUAAUACCGGAUAGGAGCGCCUGUCGCAUGACGGGUGCUGGAAAGAUCUUUCGGUCAUGGAUGGACUCGCGGCCUAUCAGCU